UACGAAGGGGGCUAGCGUUGCUCGGAAUCACUGGGCGUAAAGGGUGCGUAGGCGGGUCUUUAAGUCAGGGGUGAAAUCCUGGAGCUCAACUCCAGAACUGCCUUCGAUACUGGAGAGCUUGAGUCCGGGAGAGGUGAGUGGAACUGCGAGUGUAGAGGUGAAAUUCGUAGAUAUUCGCAAGAACACCAGUGGCGAAGGCGGCUCACUGGCCCGAUACUGACGCUGAUGCACGAAAGCGUGGGGAGCAAACAGG
rnacentral:rRNA from 1 species